rnacentral:rRNA from 1 species
CGUGUAGGUGGCUAAUUAAGUCAGGUGUGAAAUUCUUCCGCUUAACGGGAGAAGUGCACUUGAAACUGCUUAGCUAGAGUACGGGAGAGGAAGGUGGAAUUCCUGGUGUAGAGGUGAAAUUCAUAGAUAUCGGGAAGAACACCGGUGGCGAAGGCGGCCUUCUGGCCCGAUACUGACGCUGAGACGCGAAAGCGUGGGGAGCAAACAGGAUUAGAUACCCUGGUAGUCCACGCCGUAAACGUUGGGCACUAGGUGUGGGAGGUUUUUAUUCCUUCUUUGCCGAAGCUAACGCAUUAAGUGCCCCGCCCGGGGAGUACGGUCGCAAGGCUAAA